UACGGAGGGUGCAAGCGUUAUCCGGAUUCACUGGGUUUAAAGGGUGCGUAGGCGGGUUGGUAAGUCAGUGGUGAAAUCUUCAAGCUUAACUUAGAAACUGCCGUUGAUACUAUCAAUCUUGAAUAUUGUGGAGGUAAGCGGAAUAUGUCAUGUAGCGGUGAAAUGCUUAGAUAUGACAUAGAACACCAAUUGCGAAGGCAGCUUACUACCCGAAUAUUGACACUGAGGCACGAAAGCGUGGGGAUCAAACAGG
rnacentral:rRNA from 1 species